rnacentral:rRNA from 1 species
GAUGAACGCUGGCGGCGUGCUUAACACAUGCAAGCCGAACGAAGUUUUACGCUGGAUUGCGCCCUUCGGGGCAAAGUCCUUGUAAAACUUAGUGGCGGACGAGUGAGUAACACGUGGGUAAUCUGCCCGAUACACGGGGAUAAGCACUGGAAACGGUGUCUAAUACCCGAUAAGCCCCCGGCAUCGCAUGGUGCAGAGGGAAAAGAUUUAUCGGUAUCGGAGGAGCCCGCGUCCUGUUAGCUAGUUGGUGAGGUAAAAGCUCACCAAGGCAACGAUGGGUAGCCGACCUGAGAGGGUGAUCGGCCACGCCGGGACUGAGACACGGCCCGGACUCCUACGGGAGGCAGCAGUGAGGGAUAUUGCACAAUGGGCGAAAGCCUGAUGCAGCAACGCCGCGUGAAGGAAGAAGGUCUUCGGAUUGUAAACUUCUAUCGAUGGGGACGAAAAAAAUGACGGUACCCAAGUAAGAAGCCCCGGCUAACUACGUGCCAGCAGCAGCGGUAAUACGUAGGUGGCAAGCGUUGUCCGGAUUUAUUGGGCGUAAAGCGAGCGCAGGCGGUUUCUUAAGUCUGAUGUGAAAGCCCCCGGCUCAACCGGGGAGGGUCAUUGGAAACUGGGAAACUUGAGUGCAGAAGAGGAGAGUGGAAUUCCAUGUGUAGCGGUGAAAUGCGUAGAUAUAUGGAGGAACACCAGUGGCGAAGGCGGCUCUCUGGUCUGUAACUGACGCUGAGGCUCGAAAGCGUGGGGAGCGAACAGGAUUAGAUACCCUGGUAGUCCACGCCGUAAACGAUGAGUGCUAAGUGUUGGAGGGUUUCCGCCCUUCAGUGCUGCAGCUAACGCAUUAAGCACUCCGCCUGGGGAGUACGACCGCAAGGUUGAAACUCAAAGGAAUUGACGGGGGCCCGCACAAGCGGUGGAGCAUGUGGAUUAAUUCGAUGCAACGCGAAGAACCUUACCAAGGCUUGACAUGGAGAUGUAACACUAAGAGAUUAGUGCCCCCCUCGGGGCAACUCACACAGGUGGUGCAUGGUUGUCGUCAGCUCGUGUCGUGAGAUGUUGGGUUAAGUCCCGCAACGAGCGCAACCCUUAUCCUCAGUUACCAGCGGUUAAAGCCGGGUACUUUGGGGAGACUGCCGUGGAUAACACGGAGGAAGGUGGGGAUGAUGUCAAAUCAUCAUGCCCCUUACGUCUUGGGCUUCACACGUGCUACAAUGGUCUUUACAAAGUGAUGCAAUACUGCGAAGUGGAGCGAACCACAAAAAAAGACCCCAGUUCGGAUUGUAGGCUGCAACCCGCCUGCAUGAAGUUGGAAUCGCUAGUAAUCGCGAAUCAGAAUGUCGCGGUGAAUACGUUCCCGGGCCUUGUACACACCGCCCGUCACACCAUGGGAGUUGGAAACGCCCGAAGCCGGUGACUCAACCCGUAAGGGAGAGAGCCGUCGAAGGUGGAGCCAGCGACUGGGGUG